AUUUAUAUAAUAUAUUUAGUAUAUUUGACUUCCAUCAAAAAGUUUAAUAAAAUUAAUAUAAAUA
rnacentral:tRNA from 1 species